rnacentral:rRNA from 1 species
UACGUAGGGUGCAAGCGUUGUCCGGAAUUAUUGGGCGUAAAGAGCUUGUAGGCGGUUUGUCGCGUCUGCUGUGAAAUUUCGGGGCUCAACCCCGAACUUGCAGUGGGUACGGGCAGACUAGAGUGUGGUAGGGGAGACUGGAAUUCCUGGUGUAGCGGUGAAAUGCGCAGAUAUCAGGAGGAACACCAGCGGCGAAGGCGGCACUCUGGGCUGGUACUGACGCUGAGGAGCGAAAGCGUGGGUAGCAAACAGG